rnacentral:lncRNA from 10 species
CCAGGAGGCUCCAGGUUUCCCUAUCGCAGCCUUUGUCUCCCUGUGAACUGCAGGUACUGGAAGAUUUGUAGAGGGGACUCUGGGACACUCUGGAAGCUGGAAAAUGGUCUCACUGCCUAUAAGCUGGACCUGGUCACCUAUCUGGAGCAGAAGAAAGAGUGCUGGGAUGUGAAGAAACAUGAGACAGCCACACACUCAGAUCUGUCAUGUCAUUACAACCAAGGCCUUUCACCAAAGCGGGGCAUAGAUGUUUCAUUUCAAAAAGUAAUAUUGGGAAGAUAUGAAAGCUGUGGCCUUGAGAAUUUACACUUCAGGAAAAACUGUGAAAGUGGGGUGGAGGUGAAGGGCAAAAAGAAUGUUAUAAUGUGCAUAACCAAUGGGCAACAACUACUCAUAACAGAAAUUUAACUGCCACAGGAGAUCAAGAACAUAGAACAUCUCAGAAGAAACCUCAACUUACAUCAGCUACUUCUAUAUAGAAACAUAUGUUUCUAUAAGUAAAUAUCAACAUUGAUUUUUGAAAUAAACCUUAUGUAAUGAAACUCAGAAAAACUUUAACCAUAGCUCAAAUUUCAGUAAACAUCAGAAUAAUUAUUUUCCAGAUGAUCAUUACAAAUGUAACAAAUAUAAGAAAGUGUUUUAACAACCCUCAAAACUUACUAUCCAUCAGAGUAUCCAUAUUCAAGAGAAGCCUUACACAUGUAAGAAAUGUGGGAAAAUUUUAACGAGUUCUCACCACUUACUCAGCAUCAGAGAAUUCUUACUGGAAAAAAAUCACACAGAUGUAAUAAGGGUAGAAAAGUCUUUAGUCAAUCAUCACAUCUAAAUAGACAUAAGAAGAUUUAUAUUGGAGAGAAGUCAUUAAAAUGUAAAGAAUUGCAAACCCAUUAACUGCUGCUACUCAAUCCUCACACAACAUCAGGGAAUCCAUACUGUAGAAAAAACUUUCAAAUCGAAAGAAUAUGGCAAAGCCUUUAACAGGUGUUCACAUCUUACUAAAAAUUAAAGAAUCGGUACUGGAUAGAAACCCUACAAAUGUAAUAAUUUUGGAAAGACUUUUGUCCAAAAUAUACACCUCAGAGAACACCACAGUAUUUAUCCUGGAGAGAAAUUUUACAAAUGUAAAUCAGGUAACAAAGCCUUUAACUGAUGCUUAAAUUUUGAUCAACAGAGAAUUUCUAUAGGAGAGAACAUCUACAAAUGUAAUAAAUGUGGAAGGACCUUUGUCUAAAAUAUACACCUUAGAAAGAAAAAAAAAGUGACACUGCCUGCCAUUAACUGAGAUAAGGAAGGUGGAGGAGGGCCAUGUUGGAGGAUGGAAGAGAGCAGAGAUGACGAAUUUAGUUUUUGGACAUCUUGAGUUUGAGAUG